rnacentral:rRNA from 1 species
GGCGGACGGGUGAGUAAUGCAUAGGAAUCUGCCCGAUAGUGGGGGAUAACCUGGGGAAACCCAGGCUAAUACCGCAUACGUCCUACGGGAGAAAGGGGGCUCCGGCUCCCGCUAUUGGAUGAGCCUAUGUCGGAUUAGCUAGUUGGUGAGGUAAAGGCUCACCAAGGCGACGAUCCGUAGCUGGUCUGAGAGGAUGAUCAGCCACAUCGGGACUGAGACACGGCCCGAACUCCUACGGGAGGCAGCAGUGGGGAAUAUUGGACAAUGGGCGAAAGCCUGAUCCAGCCAUGCCGCGUGUGUGAAGAAGGCCCUCGGGUUGUAAAGCACUUUCAGCGAGGAAGAACGCCUAAUGGUUAAUACCCAUUAGGAAAGACAUCACUCGCAGAAGAAGCACCGGCUAACUCCGUGCCAGCAGCCGCGGUAAUACGGAGGGUGCAAGCGUUAAUCGGAAUUACUGGGCGUAAAGCGCGCGUAGGUGGCUUGAU